AGACUUCUGCAUCUUUAGGAUAUUCUAGUCCAACAUCGAGGUCACAACCCCCUCUUUCGAUUAGGUCUCUUAAGAGAGAUUAUGCUGUUAUCCCUGCGGUAACUAAUUUUUUUAGUCAGCUUUAGCCGGAUCAAAACAUAUAGGUCAAGAAAAAUAAGGAAGCUUUUUUUGUUCCUUGGUCGCCCCAACCAAAAAUAACAAUAGAAUUUUAUUUGAGAUCAUAUAUAAAUUUCUAACUUACUUUUUAAGCUCGACAGGG
rnacentral:rRNA from 1 species